GCUGAGGCAAGAGGAUUCUGAAU
rnacentral:piRNA from 1 species